GUGGCGGUACCGCAGAAUGAGUCGGCAGCAGAGUCUUCGUAUGGACCGGAAGUUAGGCCGGAAGGAGGAAAACACUAAUGUAGCUAGCUGGUAGCUAACCAUGCAUAUAUUAUUUAGUGUACAGGUAAAUAUUGUUAAUAAUUCCUCAGGUUUCUAUCAAACUGUAACGUUAGUAACAAUCUAGUGUCCCGUAGAGCUUUCUGCUGUUUUGCGGUAAUGCGGAUUGACAGAAGAAUCUAACCCGGAAGCUGGCCUGGAAGAAAGAAGAUGCUUAUGUUGAUAGCUAGUUAGCUUAGUUUAGUAGUGUCUGAAAUGUGUCUGAUAUCAUUUGAUGUCGUUUAAAUUAGACAUGGAUUUUGCCCAACUCGGACUAUAUACGUGGAGCUAGCGAUAUUUUCAACGACCAUUUCAUACAGUUUUGCUAUCUGGUCUAGGAAAGUAAAUUAUCUAGCUACUGUUGGCCUAGCUAGUUAGCUAUCUGAGUUGUAUGGGAAGUAAUCCGCUAGAUAAUGUGACCUCGUGGUGAACUGUCGGGGAUUUGAGAAGAAUCUGCUUUAGUUUAAUUCAGUGACCCAACUCUUUCAUAGGAAACUAUUUCUGAAGAAAUCACGAUGGAUGAGGAUUCUGCCGAUCCAUCCAACCCCCCUCUCUCCUGCUCCACUGAACCCAACCCUCCUGACUCUAACCAUAGAGACAUCGACACCUGCAGUGAAAUACCCAGAUUUAACAUUGUAGUCAAGGAGGAGGAAGACUGGGACGUGGAUGAUACUGAAGAGAGACCUGACCACUGUUCUGAGAGUGAAGGGAGUCCCUCUACAUCAGGACUACCUGAACAACACCAGGGAAUCACACAGUUAAGAAGAUUCACUGCUGUUCAGUGUGUGGAAAAAACUGUCACAAGUUAUCAAAACUACAAAUACAUAUGAGAACUCACACAGGAGAAAACCCUUACUCCUGCUCUGUCUGCGGGAAGCAAUUCAGUGAGAAAGGAAACCUGAAAAAACACCAGACGUUGCACACAGGAGAGAAGCUGUACAGUUGCUCCGUGUGCGGUGAGAGUUUCUCUUCAUCGUCAAUUCUUACCAAUCACCAGAGAACACACACAGGAGAGAGUCAAGUGUCUGUAGAAGAGUGUGGUUUUACACCACCAUUGGUUAUCAUAGUGAAAGAGGAGGACGAGGAUCCUGCUUUUGCAGAGAGACAUGACCACUGCUCUGACAGCGAAGGGAGUCCCUCUACAUCAGGACUACCUGAACAACACCAGGGGAAUCACACGGCUAAGAAGAGUCACUUUUGUUCAGUGUGUGGAAAAAACUGUCACAAGUUAUCAAAACUACAAAUACACAUGAGAACUCACACAGGAGAAAAACCUUACUCCUGCUCUGUCUGCGGGAAGCAAUUCAGUGACAAAGGAAACCUGAAAAAACACCAGACGGUGCACACAGGAGAGAAGCUGUACAGUUGCGCCGUGUGG